CAGGUAUUCACCAUGACAUAUUCCAUCCAUAAGCAGCAGCCCAGGUAUUCACCAUGACAUAUUCCAUCCAUAACCAGGUAUUCACCAUGACAUAUUCCAUCCAUAACCAGGUAUUCACCAUGACAUAUUCCAUCCAUAACCAGGUAUUCACCAUGACAUAUUCCAUCCAUAACCAGGUAUUCACCAUGACAUAUUCCAUCCAUAAACAGGUAUUCACCAUGACAUAUUCCAUCCAUAACCAGGUAUUCACCAUGACAUAUUCCAUCCAUAACCAGGUAUUCACCAUGACAUAUUCCAUCCAUAACCAGGUA